UUGCCUGCUAUUAAGCCGGCCAAUCUUGACUUUCUCAUGUCAGAUUGGUGUGCAAUGUAGGCAAAAAUUAAACUCUGAAGUUGUCUAAGGCCAACUGUUGUUAUGUGUCAAUAUUUGGUCCUGGGCUUCAGGGACAUUU